AAGAUGGAAUUAGUUGUGUAGGGGUAAAAUCCGUAGAGAUAACUAGGAAUACCAAAAGCGAAGGCGAUCUUCUGGAACAGUACUGACGCUGAGGCGCGAAAGCGUGGGGAGCAAACAGGAUUAGAUACCCUGGUAGUCCACGCCCUAAACGAUGAAUGUUAGUCGUCGGGUAGCUAGUCUAUUCGGUGAUGCAGCUAACGCAUUAAACAUUCCGCCUGGGGAGUACGGUCGCAAGAUUAAAACUCAAAGGAAUAGACGGGGACCCGCACAAGUGGUGGAGCAUGUGGUUUAAUUCGAAAAUACGCGAAGAACCUUACCUAGCCUUGACAUAUAUUAGAACUCACCAGAGAUGGAGAGGUGCCUUCGGGAGCUUUUAUACAGGUGCUGUACGGCUGUCGUCAGCUCGUGUCGUGAGAUGUUGGGCUAAGUCCCGCAACGAGCGCAACCCUCGUCACUAGUUACUAACGGUUCGGCCGAGGACUCUAGUGAGACUGCCUUCGCAAGGAGGAGGAAGGUGAGGACGACGUCAAGUCAUCAUGGCCCUUACGGCUAGGGCAACACACGUGCUACAAUGGCCAGGACAAUGAGACGCGAUACCGCGAGGUGGAGCAAAUCUAUAAACCUGGUCUCAGUUCGGAUUGUAGUCUGCAACUCGACUACAUGAAGCUGGAAUCACUAGUAAUCGUAGAUCAGCUAUGCUACGGUGAAUACGUUCCCGGGUCUUGUACUCACCGCCCGUCACACCAUGGGAGUUGAUUUCACCCGAAGCGGGGAAGCUAAACUGGCUACCCUCCACGGUGGAAUUAGCGACUGGGGUGAAGUCGUAACAAGGUAACC
rnacentral:rRNA from 1 species